CAGGAUGAACGCUAGCGGCAGGCUUACACAUGCAAGUCGAACGGUAACAGGUCCUUCGGGAUGCUGACGAGUGGCGCACGGGUGCGUAACGCGUAUGCAAUCUGCCUCUAUCUGGAAGAUAGCCCGUAGAGAAAUCCGGAUUAAUAUUCCAUAAUAUCAUUGAUUCGCAUGUUUCGAUUCUUAAAGCUUCGGCGGUUUGGGAUGAGUAUGCGUCCUAUUAGUUUGUUGGUGAGGUAACGGCUCACCAAGACUUCGAUAGGUAGGGGGCCUGAGAGGGUGAUCCCCCACACUGGUACUGAGACACGGACCAGACUCCUACGGGAGGCAGCAGUGAGGAAUAUUGGACAAUGGGCGAAAGCCUGAUCCAGCCAUGCCGCGUGCAGGAUGACAGCCCUACGGGUCGUAAACUGCUUUUAUACAGGAAUAAACCCCCUUACGUGUAAGGAGCUGAAUGUACUGUAAGAAUAAGGAUCGGCUAACUCCGUGCCAGCAGCCGCGGUAAUACGGAGGAUCCAAGCGUUAUCCGGAUUCAUUGGGUUUAAAGGGUCCGCAGGCGGAUUAUUAAGUCAGUGGUGAAAUCCCGAAGCUCAACUUCGGAACUGCCAUUGAAACUGUUUAUCUUGAAUUUAGUUGAAGUGGGCGGAAUAUGACAUGUAGCGGUGAAAUGCAUAGAUAUGUCAUGGAACACCAAUUGCGAAGGCAGCUCACUAAGCCGAUACUGACGCUCAGGGACGAAAGCGUGGGGAGCGAACAGGAUUAGAUACCCUGGUAGUCCACGCUGUAAACGAUGAUAACUCGCUGUUGGCGAUAUACUGUCAGCGGCCAAGCGAAAGCGUUAAGUUAUCCACCUGGGGAGUACGAUCGCAAGGUUGAAACUCAAAGGAAUUGACGGGGGCCCGCACAAGCGGUGGAGCAUGUGGUUUAAUUCGAUCAUACGCGAGGAACCUUACCUGGGCUUAAAUGCAGAACGACCGGCUGGGAAACCAGCCUUUCUUCGGACGGUCUGCAAGGUGCUGCAUGGCUGUCGUCAGCUCGUGCCGUGAGGUGUUGGGUUAAGUCCCGCAACGAGCGCAACCCCUAUUCUUAGUUGCCAGCGGUUCGGCCGGGGACUCUAAGAAAACUGCCCGCGCAAGCGGUGAGGAAGGUGGGGAUGACGUCAAAUCAUCACGGCCCUUACGUCCAGGGCCACACACGUGCUACAAUGGUAUUGACAAAGGGCAGCUACAUAGCGAUAUGAUGCUAAUCCUUAAACAAUAUCUCAGUUCGGAUUGGAGUCUGCAACUCGACUCCAUGAAGCUGGAAUCGCUAGUAAUCGCGCAUCAGCCAUGGCGCGGUGAAUACUUCCCGGGCCUUGUACACACCGCCCGUCAAGCCAUGGAAGCCGGGAGUGCCUGAAGUCGGUAACCGCAAGGAGCUGCACUAGGGUAAAACUGGCGACUGGGGCUAA
rnacentral:rRNA from 1 species